UACGUAGGGUGCAAGCGUUGUCCGGAAUUAUUGGGCGUAAAGAGCUCGUAGGCGGCUUGUUGCGUCGACUGUGAAAACCCGCAGCUUAACUGCGGGCCUGCAGUUGAUACGGGCAGGCUAGAGUUCGGCAGGGGAGACUGGAAUUCCUGGUGUAGCGGUGAAAUGCGCAGAUAUCAGGAGGAACACCGGUGGCGAAGGCGGGUCUCUGGGCCGAUACUGACGCUGAGGAGCGAAAGCGUGGGGAGCGAACAGG
rnacentral:rRNA from 1 species